rnacentral:rRNA from 1 species
UGUGAACUCGAAGAGUAGGGCGGGACACGUGGUAUCCUGUCUGAAUAUGGGGGACCAUCCUCCAAGGCUAAAUACUCCUGACUGACCGAUAGUGAACCAGUACCGUGAGGGAAAGGCGAAAAAGACCCCGGCGAGGGGAGUGAAAAAGAACCUGAAACCGUGUACGUACAAGCAGUGGGAGCACCUUCGGGUGUGACUGCGUACCUUUUGUAUAAUGGGUCAGCGACUUAUAUUCUGUAGCAAGGUUAACCGUAUAGGGGAGCCGCAGGGAAACCGAGUCUUA